AUUGGACGCUGGCGGCAUGCCUUACACAUGCAAGUCGAACGGUAACAGGCCGCAAGGUGCUGACGAGUGGCGAACGGGUGAGUAAUGCAUCGGAACGUGCCCAGUCGUGGGGGAUAACUGCUCGAAAGAGCAGCUAAUACCGCAUACGACCUGAGGGUGAAAGCGGGGGACCGUAAGGCCUCGCGCGAUUGGAGCGGCCGAUGUCAGAUUAGGUAGUUGGUGGGGUAAAGGCCUACCAAGCCGACGAUCUGUAGCUGGUCUGAGAGGACGACCAGCCAGAAUGGGACUGAGACACGGCCCAGACUCCUACGGGAGGCAGCAGUGGGGAAUUUUGGACAAUGGGCGCAAGCCUGAUCCAGCAAUGCCGCGUGCAGGAAGAAGGCCUUCGGGUUGUAAACUGCUUUUGUACGGAACGAAACGGUCUGGGUUAAUACCCUGGGCUAAUGACGGUACCGUAAGAAUAAGCACCGGCUAACUACGUGCCAGCCGCCGCAGUAAUAC
rnacentral:rRNA from 1 species